rnacentral:misc_RNA from 1 species
GAUGAAGAACGUAGCGAAAUGCGAUAAGUAAUGUGAAUUGCAGAAUCCAGUGAAUCAUCGAAUCUUUGAACGCACAUUGCGCCCGCUGGUAUUCCGGCGGGCAUGCCUGUUCGAGCGUCAUUUCAACCCUCAAGCUCUCCGGAGUUUGGUGUUGGGGCGCCUGGGGCUUUUCGACCUCAGGGCCCUCAAGUCCAUCGGCGGGACCGCCAGGACACUGAGCGCAGUAGUAUUAUUUCGCUCGGUAGGAUCUUCCACGGCGGGUCGAUCUGGCCGCUAAACCCCCCAAUUCUCACCAAAGGUUGACCUCGGAUCAGGUAGGAAUACCCGCUGAACUUAAGCAUAUCAAUAAGCGGAGGA